AACGAACGCUGGCGGCAGGCUUAACACAUGCAAGUCGAGCGCCCCGCAAGGGGAGCGGCAGACGGGUGAGUAACGCGUGGGAAUCUACCCAUCUCUACGGAAUAACGCAUGGAAACGUGUGCUAAUACCGUAUACGUCCUUCGGGAGAAAGAUUUAUCGGAGAUGGAUGAGCCCGCGUUGGAUUAGGUAGUUGGUGGGGUAAAGGCCUACCAAGGCGACGAUCCAUAGCUGGUCUGAGAGGAUGAUCAGCCACACUGGGACUGAGACACGGCCCAGACUCCUACGGGAGGGAGCAGUGGGGAAUAUUGGACAAUGGGCGCAAGCCUGAUCCAGCCAUGCCGCGUGUGUGAUGAAGGCCUUAGGGUUGUAAAGCACAUUCGCCAGGGACGAUAAUGACGGUACCUGGAUAAGAAGCCCCGGCUAACUUCGUGCCAGCCGCCGCCGUAACAC
rnacentral:rRNA from 1 species